AUUGAACGCUGGCGGCAGGCCUAACACAUGCAAGUCGAACGAGCGGCGGACGGGUGAGUAAUGUAUGGGAAUCUGCCUGAUAGAGGGGGAUAACUACUGGAAAAGGUGGCUAAUCCCGCAUACUAUCGGAUGACCCCAUAUGGGCUUUGCUAGUAGGUGGGGUAACGGCUCACCUAGGCGGCGAUCCCUAGCUGGGCUGAGAGGAUGAUCAGCAAAACUGGUACUGGGACACGGCCCGAACUCCUACGGGAGGCAUCGGUGGGAAAUAUGGCACAAUGGGCGCAAGCCUGAUGCAGCGAUGCCGCGUGUAUGAAGAAGGCCUUAGGGUUGUAAAGUACUUUCAGCGGGGAGGCGUUACCCGCAGAAGAAGCACCGGCUAACUCCGUGCCAGCAGCCGCGGUAAUAC
rnacentral:rRNA from 1 species